CAUGCAGUCGAACGCUGAAGCUCCCAGCUUGCUGGGGGUGGAUGAGUGGCGAACGGGUGAGUAACACGUGAGUAACCUGCCCCGAACUCUGGGAUAAGCGCUGGAAACGGCGUCUAAUACUGGAUAUGUCCUAUCACCGCAUGGUGUGUAGGUGGAAAGAAUUUCGGUUCGGGAUGGACUCGCGGCCUAUCAGCUAGAUGGUGAGGUAAUGGCUCACCAUGGCGACGACGGGUAGCCGGCCUGAGAGGGUGACCGGCCACACUGGGACUGAGACACGGCCCAGACUCCUACGGGAGGCAGCAGUGGGGAAUAUUGCACAAUGGGCGCAAGCCUGAUGCAGCAACGCCGCGUGAGGGAUGACGGCCUUCGGGUUGUAAACCUCUUUUAGUAGGGAAGAAGCGAAAGUGACGGUACCUGCAGAAAAAGCACCGGCUAACUACGUGCCAGCAGCCGCGGUAAUACGUAGGGUGCAAGCGUUGUCCGGAAUUAUUGGGCGUAAAGAGCUCGUAGGCGGCUUGUCGCGUCUGCUGUGAAAACCAGAGGCUCAACCUCUGGCCUGCAGUGGGUACGGGCAAGCUAGAGUGCGGUAGGGGAGAUUGGAAUUCCUGGUGUAGCGGUGGAAUGCGCAGAUAUCAGGAGGAACACCGAUGGCGAAGGCAGAUCUCUGGGCCGUAACUGACGCUGAGGAGCGAAAGCAUGGGGAGCGAACAGGAUUAGAUACCCUGGUAGUCCAUGCCGUAAACGUUGGGAACUAGAUGUAGGGCCUGUUCCACGGGUUCUGUGUCGUAGCUAACGCAUUAAGUUCCCCGCCUGGGGAGUACGGCCGCAAGGCUAAAACUCAAAGGAAUUGACGGGGC
rnacentral:rRNA from 1 species